AAACAUUUGUAAAUUUAGUUAUUAAAUUUAUAUGCAUUACAUAUUUAUUUAAUUUAACAUUUAGCAUCUACACGAGUUAUUUAUUUAAGCGAACACUGAAUGAUUAUUACAGUUUUCAUUAUAUUUUAUUUAUUUCUUUUCCACUCACACUUUACACUACACUACACUACACGAUAUAUUUUUUUUUCCCCACCAAUUUCACCCACUCUUCCACUCACACUUAUAAGCUGACCCACUCUUCCACCCACACUUAUAAACUGAUUUCACCUAUAAAAGCCUCCAUCCUUUAACGCCUAUUCAUCCCAAAAUCAAUUCUUCUCAUUGAGCUUUCUACUUAAUUCAGUUUCCCAAUCUUGAGCUUCUUCUCAAUCAUAUUCUACAGCAGCUGAACAAUAGAAUAAUCUCAUAAUAAUUUCAUAAAACAAAGGAUCGCCUUUUACUCAACCAUCGACUGGCUUUGUGACCAGGGGGAUUAGCGCUGCUUUCCCAAGACAGGUUUUUAUGUGUAUGAUCUUCAGGCUUUGCCUAUCCAGGUGGGCUUACUUUCCAAAUGUACAAAGUAUGAUUGAGUUAUUAAGCUCUAAAUGUUUUCAAUGAAAUGCAAAUUGUUUAUUUAAUGUAAUGAAAACUGUUUAUCCAAUAAAAUGUUUAUGUGCACUCUGCUCUGUUUAAGGCUCGCAUAAGUUAAUCGAUCGAGGUUCUCUUAUGACCUAACACGUUGUUUGAGAAUUGUGUACACCUAUUAGCUGACUCGGUGGGUUGAUCUCCAUCGGGCACUAAUCAUGUAUGAGGCGUUAUAAGGGUGCUCGACGGGAUGUGUUCCGGAGCAUUGGGUCCCAAAUGGGAACUUGACUGGGUUACGCCCUCAGUUCAAGUAAAGCGGGAGAUAUGGAUCCGUCGGUGGCUAAAAGGUCCGGGAUCACAGCGAGUAACAGAAAGGGAGUGUGACAUGUGCGCACAAAUGAAAAAUGUUUUAACAUGCUUAGAAGUACUUCUUUCAUUUUAAAACCUUCUAAGUCAUGUCUAGUAUAAUUGGAUAAACUGCUCUUACGAAAAUAUGAAAUGUUUAUGAAAAUGCAUGCCCACUAAGUACAUUAGUACUUAGCCCAAAAAUACUUUCAAAUGUUUUCAGGUUGGCUGGCUGGUGCUGACGGGACGGAGCUGAGGCUAGAGUUAAAUUCCUAUGUUAGACUUCCGCUGUAGCAAUUACUCAUAUCAGUCUUUUGUUUUCUCAACUUAAGAUGACUUCAUGUCGAACUUAAAUUUGAAAUUCUAGUUUUAUGCUAAUGAAUGUUGGUUGUCAGAAACAUGAAACAAAACUUGUGAUCCAAAGGGGCAUAGCCCGACUUUCUAUCCUAUUUCGGGUUUUUACAAGGUUGUUCCUUGUUUAUUUCUAUGAAUUAGUUGCACCUCGAUUAUAUUUAUUCCUUCAAGAAUUGGGGUGUGACAGAAUGGUAUCAGAGCAUGAGUUUUCUUUCAUGUUUCUGAUAACCAUAAGCUUUUUGAUGUUGAGUCUAGAAUAGUAUCUCUAGACUUCUAAGAAUGUCAGUAGCCCUCAGCUCACCGUCACACUGCCGCAACCAAGGUACGAUAAUAGUUUCAAAAAUAUACAUAUAUGUAUUUCAGAUGUUAUGAAAGUUUUCAAGAAAAUGUGCGCCUUAUGUUUACGAUGCUAUGUGAAUGCUUUUUGUCGUGUUUGGGACUACUCGAAC